rnacentral:misc_RNA from 1 species
CCCACAUAGAAUCCAGAGACAAAACAAAAUCAUAAACUUUGAGAUUACGCAUAAUUUCGAAUUGCGCAUUAUCAAUUUGCCUGCUACAAAACUUGUUGGUAGCCGAAAAUUUUAACUUUUAUCAUUUUUUUUUUCAAUUGGUGUUCAAAACGCUGGCCACAACUUCUGGCUGCCUUAAGCCACUUGCAUGGGGGCCCCUUCCACGCCCAACAAUGAGAUCCUCAUGAUCUAAACAAGCCAACUAGCGCACAUGUAGGUAGGCUCGUGAUCCUCAUGAUCUACCGGUAGGCUCGUGGACGGCGUGGCCAAGUUUUUUGGAAAUGCAACACACAGAGAGAAGCAAAGAGAGUAUGAAUGGAAAAAAGAAGGUGGUGAGUGUAACAGGAGCGUCAUGCUACAUAGGUUCAUGGCUGGUUAAGCUUUUACUCCAAAAAGGUUAUAUUGCCAAAGCUACUGUUCUUGACCCA